ACCGAUGUGGAAGUAGGUGGUGAACUUCGUAAGCCUGUCACGCUUGAGUAGGGGGUUCGAUUCCCCUCAUCGGUG
rnacentral:tRNA from 1 species